GUUCCUAUAGAGGAAGUACUGCAGUGUCUUGAAAGGAGGAGAGCUGAAGUACUGAGCUUAUACCAUGGGACUGGGGCCCUGAAGGGGGAGGGCAGCAAAGGUGAAAGGGUUUUAGGCAGAGAAGCUAAGGGAUGCCUAGAGGAAGCUCCUUAACAACAGACUGGGAAAAGCUAUAUGAGGAGAUGAAACUCCACAGACAGGGGACCAGAGAGCACAUCCCCACAACAGAUGCUGCAAGCAGCUUGCCACCUGUGACAAGGAGAUGUGCAUGGAGUCAGCUCACAGCUUGGCACCUCUUCAUGGCUGUGCAUGGCAUGGAACCUACCUCUCUUUCAGGAUGGCAGCUGCAUCCCCUCAGCCAGAAUCUUUCAGCUUAAAAGGAUCUCAGAGUCCUUUAGAAACACAUCACAGCAGUGAAAUGCAACAGCUCUGGAGAGGAGAUAAAAGGAAGAUGGACAACUUGUACAAACCCAGACUGCACAAGAUCAGUAGGAGAGGCAAUUUUGGUCAAGCACACUGUGGUAGUCUAUAAACAACUCUAUCAAGAGUGUUCUGGGAUCUUUGGGGCCUGAUAUUCAAAAAUGUGUGCCAAAUUAUAUGUGCAAUCUAAGUAAUUCUAUGUGCAAACUAGGGAAGCAAUUCCAUAUGGUUUUUUUUUUUUAAAAAAUCAGACCUUUUUUAAUGUACAAGCUGAGCUGACAGAACCAGUUUAUGAGGCCUCACCCAAAAUAGCCAUGCACAAUACACUGUCUGGGACUCAACUUGUCUACCUCAAAAAGAAUAAGGAAAGCAAAUCUUCACUUUCAAGGACUAUUUCUACCUGAUGCUUACACUAGGAAGUCAGCCCAUCUCGCAGCUCCAGCCUUUAAGCCCCAAUUUCCUCUUCCUUUAGGUCUUUUUUAUACACCAGAAGAAAAGAGAGCAGAGACGCAACUUUUUUUCCACUGUAUAUCAUUUAAACAGGCACACACACACAUGAUUUUUCCAAUCUAGUGAAUUCAAAUCAUGUCAGUACUUCAGUUUAUCCAAAAUGUAAAAAUCUGUGUGUGUGUGUGUACCUGCAUGCAUGUACACGCAUUUACUUGGCACUACAUCCUAUAAUAUCAACCGGUCUAAUCAGACCAGAAGGAAAAGUUAGUUUACAAAAUCUUUGCUGAUGUUAGCAUUAGUAUUUUAGCAGUUUGGAGAGGAUAAGAAGGAAAGCACGGAAUAGAAAAUGUAUUUUAAUUAUUAGCAUUUGUUAAACCUCAGUAGGAUCAGUUGACACCUAUAAUAAUGUGACACUGUAUUAUCAACAUAGUUAGAUAUGAGGACUUCCACUUCUAUUGAAAUCAGUGGCAGAACCCACAUUGACUUCAGCAGGAGCAAUACUGGGCCCAUGAGCAUGGAACUGAUUAAUACAGUUAAAUCAAUCUUGGACAGUGCUAAUUUUUAAAAUCUUCAAUG